rnacentral:rRNA from 1 species
UACGUAGGGGGCGAGCGUUGUCCGGAAUUAUUGGGCGUAAAGAGCUCGUAGGCGGCUUAGUAAGUCGGCGGUGAAAUACCGAGGCUCAACCUCGGCACUGCCGUCGAUACUGCUAUGGCUAGAGUUUGGUAGAGGAGAACGGAAUUCCCGGUGUAGCGGUGGAAUGCGCAGAUAUCAGGAGGAAUACCCAUAGCGAAGGCAGCUCGCUGGGACGGUACUGACGCUAAGGCGCGAAAGCGUGGGGAGCGAACAGG